UACGGAGGGCGCGAGCGUUAAUCGGAAUUACUGGGCGUAAAGCGCGCGUAGGCUGUUGUGUAAGUUGGGGGUGAAAUCCCACGGCUCAACCGUGGAACAGCCCUUGAUACUGCGCGACUUGAAUCCGGGAGAGGGUGGCGGAAUUCCAGGUGUAGGAGUGAAAUCCGCAGAUAUCUGGAGGAACCUCAGUGGCGAAGGCGGCCACCUGGACCGGUAUUGACGCUGAGGCGCGAAAGCGUGGGGAGCAAACAGG
rnacentral:rRNA from 1 species